rnacentral:rRNA from 1 species
GUGGGGAAUAUUGGACAAUGGGCGCAAGCCUGAUCCAGCCAUGCCGCGUGAGUGAUGAAGGUCUUCGGAUUGUAAAGCACUUUAAGUUGGGAGGAAGGGCAGUAAGUUAAUACCUUGCUGUUUUGACGUUACCGACAGAAUAAGCACCGGCUAACUUCGUGCCAGCAGCCGCGGUAAUACGAAGGGUGCAAGCGUUAAUCGGAAUUACUGGGCGUAAAGCGCGCGUAGGUGGUUUUGUAAGUUGGAGGUGAAAUCCCCGGGCUCAACCUGGGAACUGCCUCCAAAACUGCAUGACUAGAGUACGGUAGAGGGUAGUGGAAUUUCCUGUGUAGCGGUGAAAUGCGUAGAUAUAGGAAGGAACACCAGUGGCGAAGGCGACUACCUGGACUGAUACUGACACUGAGGUGCGAAAGCGUGGGGAGCAAACAGGAUUAGAUACCCCGGUAGUCC